rnacentral:rRNA from 1 species
CCUACGGGAGGCAGCAGUGAGGAAUAUUGGUCAAUGGGCGCAAGCCUGAACCAGCCAAGUAGCGUGCGGGAUGACGGCCCUACGGGUUGUAAACCGCUUUUGUACGGGAAUAAAAUGAGGCACUUGUGCCUGUUUGUAUGUACUUUGUGAAUAAGGACCGGCUAACUCCGUGCCAGCAGCCGCGGUAAUACGGAGGGUCCGAGCGUUAUCCGGAUUUAUUGGGUUUAAAGGGAGCGUAGAUGGGUUGUUAAGUCAGUUGUGAAAGUUUGCGGCUCAACCGUAAAAUUGCAAUUGAUACUGGCAGCCUUGAGUACAGAUGAGGUAGGCGGAAUUCGUGGUGUAGCGGUGAAAUGCUUAGAUAUCACGAAGAACCCAGAUUGCGAAGGCAGCUUA